AGCUUUGCGCAGUGGCAGUAUCGUAGCCAAUGAGGUUUAUCCGAGGCGCGAUUAUUGCUAAUUGAAAACUUUUCCCAAAUGCCAGCCUCUAGGCUAAGCCUUAACAAGUAAACGUGGAGAUUGUCUCUACAA
rnacentral:snRNA from 1 species